rnacentral:misc_RNA from 1 species
GCAAACUUGGUCAUUUAGAGGAAGUAAAAGUCGUAACAAGGUUUCCGUAGGUGAACCUGCGGAAGGAUCAUUAUUGAACAAACCGGCGUUGGCUGAGCUGGCCUUUUCGGAGGCAUGUGCACGGCCCGCCAUUGUUUCAUCCUUCUCUUCCACCUGUGCACUUCUGUGGGCCCACUCCAGCGCACCUCGUGUGCUGGACUCUGGUGCCUACGUCUCACUACCUACACCAUUGAAUGUUCAGAGCGCAUGAAUAGGGCAUUCUUGCCUAUAAAACCUUAAUACAACUUUCAACAACGGAUCUCUUGGCUCUCGCAUCGAUGAAGAACGCAGC